rnacentral:rRNA from 1 species
CCUACUGGCGGCAGCAGUGGGGAAUUUUGGACAAUGGGGGAAACCCUGAUCCAGCCAUGCCGCGUGCGGGAUGAAGGCCUUCGGGUUGUAAACCGCUUUUGUCAGAGACGCAAAGGGACGCACGAAUAAUACGUUCCGCUGACGGUAUCUGAAGAAUAAGCACCGGCUAACUACGUGCCAGCAGCCGCGGUAAUACGUAGGGUGCAAGCGUUAAUCGGAAUUACUGGGCGUAAAGGGUGCGCAGGCGGCUGUGCAAGACAGAUGUGAAAUCCCCGGGCUUAACCUGGGAACUGCAUUUGUGACUGCACGGCUAGAGUUUGUCAGAGGAGGGUGGAAUUCCGCGUGUAGCAGUGAAAUGCGUAGAUAUGCGGAAGAACACCAAUGGCGAAGGCAGCCCUCUGGGACAUGACUGACGCUCAUGCACGAAAGCGUGGGGAGCAAACAGGAUUAGAUACCCCAGUAGUC